UACGGAGGGUGCAAGCAUUAAUCGGAUUUAUUGGGCGUAUAGGGCGCGUAGGCGGUGAUGUAAGUCAGAUGUGAAAUCCCGGGGCUCAACCCCGGAACAGCAUAUGAAACUGUCGAUCUAGUGGAAUGGCGGAGAAAAUGGAAUUCCAUGUGUAGCGGUGAAAUGCGUAGAUAUAUGGAAGAACACCGGUGGUGAAGACGGUUUUCUGGGCCAAUCCUGACGCUGAGGCGCGAAAGCUAGGGGAGCAAACAGG
rnacentral:rRNA from 1 species